GUGGGGAAUUUUGCGCAAUGGGCGAAAGCCUGACGCAGCGACGCCGCGUGGAGGAUGAAGGUCUUCGGAUUGUAAACUCCUUUUGUAGGGGAAGAUAAUGACGGUACCCUAUGAAUAAGCCACGGCUAACUCUGUGCCAGCAGCCGCGGUAAGACAGAGGUGGCAAGCGUUGUUCGGAAUUACUGGGCUUAAAGGGCGCGUAGGUGGUGGCAUAAGUCCGGGGUGGAAGGCUAAGGCUUAACCUUAGAAUUGCCCUGGAAACUGUAUCACUUGAGUCAGCGAGGGGAUGGCGGAAUUCCUGGUGUAGCGGUGAAAUGCGUAGAUAUCAGGAGGAAGGCCGGUGGCGAAGGCGGCCAUCUGGCGCUGAACUGACACUGAGGCGCGAAAGCGUGGGGAGCAAACAGGAUUAGAUACCCGAGUAGUCC
rnacentral:rRNA from 1 species